GGGACUUCCUCCUGAAACUGUACUAUGUUAAUGCUUGUCUUUAUGGUGUUCUCCAAGUCUUCAGAAAGUGACGCAUUCUUGGAAGUUUUGAAUGGAUUAAGCAGAAAUGGAUGAGAGGAAUGAAUAUUUUCAAGUCCUACAGUUCACAGAAUUUCAGAGAUACUGAACAAGCUUAGCAGUAAGGAAUGCAUAGAGGGAAGAGGUGCUGAGGCAAAGUUCAGUCUGCUAACCACAGCUUUCAGUGGUGGCAAAUGGAGAAUUCACCAUUGGUAUGGUGAUGCAUGUGGCUCAGGGAAGAAACAAAAGAAAGUUUACUUGAAUACAGCUUAAAAUGAGUUCACUCUCAGCUUAUCUGAUUUGAUCAAUGGUGACUUAAUGCCAGACUUGCGGUGUUUCAGGUACUUUAAUUGAUUUUUUCACUUAUUGUGGGUCUGAAGGGAAUGGUUUCAUUGCUUAACCAGUAGAUUUCCUUAGGAUUCUCAUUUGUUUAGUCAAAAGAACCCUAUGACAGAUUUAAGGUAGUAGUUGGGCAUUUUUUUGUCAACUGAAUGCAUGUUCUGCUGCUGUUCGCUGGGAUAAUACAAUAUAAAGAGAGCUAUGGCUCUGGGGACCUGAAGUGAAGUAUAUUUGGCUGUAUGCUAUAAAUAUGCGCUACAACUGAGCACAAACUAGUUCUUUUAUGAUUCAUAAAUGCUUUAUAAUCCAUUUACUUAUUUAUUUAUUUUGGUUGCUCUCUGAGUCUAUAAGCAGUAGUGGCUGGUGACUGUGGUUAAGCAUCUACAGAGAUGCUUGCUGUCAUGGAACUCUAGGCUGAGGAGCCUCUGCUGCUGGUGUAUGGAGUUUGAAAACCUUUUAGCUUCAUAUCUCACUCUCAGCCCUUCUCCUUGCUGACUGCUCUGUAAGAGGCUCCUGGGGAAGAUCUUUAGUAUGACACAAAUAAGAGUUUCUGCCUUCAGCUCCCCUUUCCCCCUCAACCCCAGAAAAAAACAACCCUGACUCCUAAAACAAUUGAAUGAAGAAAUUUGUCAUGCUCAGCACUGUGCGGACAUAGACAGAAAAUAUUCCCAAAUAAUUUACCAUCUCUGCGCAAGAUGUAUGUGGAAAUGAAGGGCACAUUUCAUUGUUCAUUGCUGUUCACUGUGUAGCUUUUUUAAAGGUAUGUGAUUUCUGUGCUGGCCAUCAGUGCUCAUAUAAAAGGUUAUUCAGGAAAUAAUUAGCUGUGAAUGUGUUUGCUCCUGUGCAGAGGCCAUCUAUUGAAAUUGUAUACAAAUUAUCAAACUU
rnacentral:lncRNA from 1 species